rnacentral:lncRNA from 1 species
GCUCCGGGCGCCCCGCGGAGGGGACGGCCGUUGGGGCCGUUGGCGGGAGGGGUCACCUGAUCGCCCGCGCGUCCCCGCCGCGGCCUCGCUCUCUCCCGGCGYAGGUCCCGCGCAGCGCGGUUGAAAGCGUCACGUGGCUGCGCCCGCCGCCAGUCAUAGAGGCAGGCGCGGGAGGGUAGAGCGGCCUCGUGCUGACGAGCUCCCGCGCCGCCAUCUUGGUUGUGGGCAGGAGCUGUAAGGCGGCGCCUCGACCGUUGCUCUGGCGCCGCGCGCGUGAGGUGGCUGCGCCCGAUCCGGCCUCGUCCCGUCACCGCCGCUCCCGGGCCCUCGCCGCAGGGGGGACGGUUGUGGUGCCCCCACGGGAGAGGAACCCGGGGCCGCGGAGGGGCGCUGCCGCUCCCCGCCAGGCGUGCGGUGCGCCUCGGGCGUCUGCCGCCGCCGCCGGAGAAGGCGGAGAGGAACGGGAAGGUGGCAAAAGUUGCUGGCGGUGAGGACAGCCAGGCGGUCAGGGGCACAGAGGUGCUCUGGUGCGCCCUGAGAACUGGGAGUGAAUCAGUGAAACGCCACCGUAAAGACGAAGUGAAGUCUUGCUCCCUAGCAACCCAAGUGGCAUGUUUACUGAGUGAAAACAGGGCAUUUUGGAGCAAGGCUAUCCAGGAACUGCAGAGUUGCUGUUUCUCAGGACAGCGAGUGAGAAUGGAGUCCUGGAGCCCUCUGGUGGAUGUAUGUAGAAAGAAGACAGCUGAAAAUAGGUGUAAGUUGGCAUUUUAUCCCGGAGAAGGAGUGAAGAGGUUCAAUGAAGCAUUUAUGGAGAAAUGAUCUUUUCUUUAGAUCUUGUUCAGUCUGCGUGGGGUUUUGGAGUGAGGUACUCUGACUAUCUC